GUUCUCGCUUUGGCAGCAUGUAUACUAAAAUUGGAAUGAUUAGCAUGGCCCCUGCACAAGGAUGACCUACAAAUUCAUGAAGCAUUCCAUAUUUUU
rnacentral:snRNA from 1 species